GCUGUUACCACAAGAUGAGCAGAGAAGAAAGCAGUGCAAGUCUGCUUCACUGGUGACAGGUAAACAGAGGUUAGGACAGUCCACUCACUGGUCACUCCCAUGACAAGGUGAAUGAAUAUUAGACUCUGACA
ensembl:snoRNA